rnacentral:rRNA from 1 species
AGUGAACGCUGGCGGUAGGCCUAACACAUGCAAGUCGAACGGCAGCACAGUAAGAGCUUGCUCUUACGGGUGGCGAGUGGCGGACGGGUGAGGAAUACAUCGGAAUCUACUUUUUCGUGGGGGAUAACGUAGGGAAACUUACGCUAAUACCGCAUACGACCUACGGGUGAAAGCAGGGGAUCUUCGGACCUUGCGCGAUUGAAUGAGCCGAUGUCGGAUUAGCUAGUUGGCGGGGUAAAGGCCCACCAAGGCGACGAUCCGUAGCUGGUCUGAGAGGAUGAUCAGCCACACUGGAACUGCGACACGGUCCAGACUCCUACGGGAGGCAGCAGUGGGGAAUAUUGGACAAUGGGCGCAAGCCUGAUCCAGCCAUACCGCGUGGGUGAAGAAGGCCUUCGGGUUGUAAAGCCCUUCUGUUGGGAAAGAAAAGCAGCAGGUUAAUACCCCGCUGUUCUGACGGUACCCAACCAAUAAGCACCGGCUAACUUCGUG